AUUGUAGUCAUAUGCUUGUCUCAAAGAUUAAGCCAUGCAGGUCUAAGUAUGAGCCGAAAUAAAGUGAGACCGCGAAUGGCUCAUUACAUCAGUUAUGGUUCCUUAGAUCUUCGGUAUCUUACUUGGAUAACCCUGGAAAUUCUAGAGCUAAUACAUGCAAAUGUAGCCUCGACCCUUGUGGAAGAGGCGUUUUUGUUAGACCAAAACCAAUCAGGGAGCAAUCCCUGUCCAUUUGGUGAGUCUGAACAACUUUGAGCGGAUCGCACGGUCUUGUACCGGCGACAACUCUUUCAAAUGUCUGCCUUAUCAACUUGAUGGUAGGUUAUGUGCCUACCAUGGUGAUAACGGGUAACGGAGAAUCAGGGUUCGAUGCCGGAGAGGGAGCCUGAGAAACGGCUACCACAUCCAAGGAAGGCAGCAGGCACGCAAAUUACCCACUCCCGGCACGGGGAGGUAGUGACGAAAAAUAACAAUACGGGACUCAUCCGAGGCCCCGUAAUUGGAAUGAGUACACUUCAAAUCCUUUAACGAGGAUCCAUUGGAGGGCAAGUCUGGUGCCAGCAGCCAAUC
rnacentral:rRNA from 1 species